UGGGGAAUCUUCCGCAAUGGACGAAAGUCUGACGGAGCAACGCCGCGUGAGUGAUGACGGCCUUCGGGUUGUAAAGCUCUGUUAAUCGGGACGAAUGGUUCUUGUGCGAAUAGUGCAAGGACUUGACGGUACCGGAAUAGAAAGCCACGGCUAACUACGUGCCAGCAGCCGCGGUAAUACGUAGGUGGCAAGCGUUGUCCGGAAUUAUUGGGCGUAAAGCGCGCGCAUGCGGAUUGGUCAGUCGGUCUUAAAAGUUCGGGGCUUAACACCGUGAUGGGAUGGAAACUGCCAAUCUAGAGUAUCGGAGAGGAAAGUGGAAUUACUAGUGUAGCGGUGAAAUGCGUAGAUAUUAGGAAGAACACCAGUGGCGAAGGCGACUUUCUGGACGAAAACUGACGCUGAGGCGCGAAAGCCAGGGGAGCGAACGGG
rnacentral:rRNA from 1 species